rnacentral:rRNA from 1 species
AUGGUGGCUUUUGAAGGUGCUUUGACUGGGAGGCGAUUCCUGGGUUGUCCUGUGCAGCAGGAUGUAGGUGUGAACUGUGGGGUUGUGGAGUGGGUGGAUGGUCCUUGGCCAGAGAUUCUACAAAGGUGCCUAACAAGGAUUUGGGACAUGUACCAUGAGCAGAACUUGGGGAGGGUGAAGGACAAACAAGCCCAUGAGAAAGAGGUGGCCAAGCUACAGAAGGAAAUUGAUUUCCUGUCAAACAACUACAGCCAGUUGGUGGAAGAUGUAUCCAAGCUUUUUGACUAUCAAGAUGGCAAGAUGUCUCAUGACAUGGACUAUACCAGUCAGGCAAUCAAUGAUCUAAAUGCAAAGAAGAAACAACUUGAGGAUCAAGCAAAGAUUGAGAUAAGUGUGGAAAAGAUGAAGCUUGCCAAGGAACAAAGGUGCAUUCUUCGAAGUCAAGCAGAUAUCAUUCAGAACAUGAGGAAGACCAUGAAGGAAGUGGAGGGGGACAAGGACCUACUUAAGCAAGAGAAGAAGAAGCUGGAGUAUUUGAUUGCUGAUCUGGUCAAUGCUGGGCAUGCCAGCAAAGAUAAGCUGGAGAGGAUCAAUGCAAUUAUGAAUGAGUGA